UAAUACACAGAAACGCAUAGAACUUGUCCAUGUUAUUCGUUUAACAUAAACCUCAUCAAAAGAUGAAAAAACAGAAUACAGAUACUAAAGCUAAAAUGACCUGCAAAUCAGUUUAUUCAGAUGACAAACACGACAAUAAACUACGUAUACUUGGAGCUGAUGGCCUGUAAAAAUUUCACUUGUGCAUGGUAGCCUUGACAGCCGGAGCGGUGGCAUGUGCUCUUGCAGGAGAUGCAGGCGGGUGUUUGCAAGGAGGGCCUCCAACGGGGGCUUUCUCACAUGGAUUUGGGGUAGAAGGAGUGACCGGACCCAUCUGCUGAGGACUUUCUGAAAGACCACGUCUUUUCUCUAUCAAGUACUCACGGUUCUCUCCUUCAAGAACCCUAGUAGCAUUGUGUGAUUGGACGCUCAGAAGAAAUGCAAGUGCUAUGACAGUAAAAACAAAGUUGAGAAACCUCAUGAUAGUCUUGUUGGUGAGGCAAAUAGGCAUAUGUAGAGGAGAUGGUGUUGUUCGUUAUUUAUAUGCAUGC
rnacentral:lncRNA from 1 species